UAACCUAAGAGGGUGAAGGAUGUGCAUC
rnacentral:piRNA from 1 species